rnacentral:rRNA from 1 species
GCCAGACUCCUACGGGAGGCAGCAGUGGGGAAUAUUGCACAAUGGGGGAAACCCUGAUGCAGCGACGCCGCGUGAGUGAAGAAGUAUUUCGGUAUGUAAAGCUCUAUCAGCAGGGAAGAAAUAGCGACCUUUGGGUCGCCAGACGGUACCUGAUUAAGAAGCCCCGGCUAACUACGUGCCAGCAGCCGCGGUAAUACGUAGGGGGCAAGCGUUAUCCGGAUUUACUGGGUGUAAAGGGUGCGUAGGUGGCAGGGCAAGUCAGAUGUGAAAGCCCGGGGCCCAACCCCGGUACUGCAUUUGAAACUGUCCGGCUGGAGUGCAGGAGAGGUAAGCGGAAUUCCUAGUGUAGCGGUGAAAUGCGUAGAUAUUAGGAGGAACACCAGUGGCGAAGGCGGCUUACUGGACUGUAACUGACACUGAGGCACGAAAGCGUGGGGAGCAAACAGGAUUAGAUACCCUUGUAU